rnacentral:lncRNA from 1 species
AAUAAAAAAAUCCUAAUUCUAAUAGAAUACUAACAAUGCUCUAAUUAGACUAUAAUAAUGGUAAACAAACGUAAUCAAAUUCAAAACAACUCAAAGAAAUUUCAAACAAAUAAUAAAAUUCUUAAAGUAAUAUUAGAAUGAUCACAAAUUUUACUCAAAUAUAUGUCAAUUCAAUCUUAAUUUAAUUCUAGUUAAAACCCUAUUGAAUUUCACUCAACUUUAGACCAAACCUAAUUAAAAUUUAAACCCUAAUAAUUCCUAAACCUUAAGUCAAAUCCUAAACAAAUCUUAAAUUAAACCCUAUUCCAAAUCCUAAACCCUAAACCAAACCCUAAAUCAAACCCUAAACCAAACCCUAAAUCAAACCCUAAACCAAACCCUAAAUCCUAAACCAAACCUUAAAUCAAAUCCUAAUCAAAUCUUAAUCUAAAUCCUAAAUCAAACCCUAACCAAAUCCUAAAUCCUAAUCCAAACCCUAAUCCAAAUCCUAAUCCAACCCUAAACUCUAAUCCAAAUCCUAAAUCCUAAACCAAACCUUAAAUCAAAUCCUAACCAAAUACUAGUCCAAACUCUAAUCCAAAUCCUAAAUCAAAUCCUAAUCAAAUCCUAAACCUUAAUCCAAACCCUAAUUCAAACCGUAAUCCAACCCUAAACUCUAAUCCAAAUCUUAAAUCUUAAACCAAAUCUUAAAUCAAAUUCUAACCAAACCCUAAUUCAAAUCCUAAUCCAAAUCCUCGCCAAACCCUAAUCCAAACCCUAAUCUAAACCCUAAUCCAAACCUUAAACCGAACCCUAGCCAAACCCUAAUCCAAAUCCUA